rnacentral:rRNA from 1 species
CAGCAGCCACGGUAAUACGAAGGGGGCUAGCGUUGCUCGGAAUUACUGGGCGUAAAGGGAGCGUAGGCGGAUCGUUUAGUCGGGGGUGAAAUCCCGGGGCUCAACCUCGGAACUGCCUUUGAUACUGGCGAUCUUGAGUACGGGAGAGGUGUGUGGAACUCCGAGUGUAGAGGUGAAAUUCGUAGAUAUUCGGAAGAACACCAGUGGCGAAGGCGACACACUGGCCCAUUACUGACGCUGAGGCUCGAAAGCGUGGGGAGCAAACAGGAUUAGAGACCCGAGUAGUCCCUGUCUCUUAUAC